rnacentral:rRNA from 1 species
UGGGGAAUUUUGCACAAUGGGGGAAACCCUGAUGCAGCGACGCCGCGUGAUUUAGAAGGCCUUCGGGUUGUAAAAAUCUUUUCUAUGGGAAGAAAAUGACAGUACCAUAGGAAUAAGGACCGGCUAAUUACGUGCCAGCAGCCGCGGUAAUACGUAAGGUCCGAGCGUUGUCCGGAAUCAUUGGGCGUAAAGGGUACGUAGGCGGGUAAGCAAGUUAGAAGUGAAAUCCUGUAGCUCAACUACAGUAAGCUUUUAAAACUGCUCAUCUUGAGAUAUGGAAGGGAAAGUGGAAUUCCUAGUGUAGCGGUGAAAUGCGCAGAUAUUAGGAGGAAUACCGGUGGCGAAGGCGACUUUCUGGACACAAACUGACGCUGAGGUACGAAAGCGUGGGGAGCAAACAGG